rnacentral:rRNA from 1 species
ACCAGUACCGUGAGGGAAAGGUGAAAAGCACCCCGACGAGGGGAGUGAAACAGUUUCUGAAACCGGACGCCUACAAACAGUUGGAGCCUCUUUAUGGGGUGACAGCGUACCUUUUGUAUAAUGGGUCAACGACUUGGUCUUACUAGCAAGCUUAAGCCGAUAGGUGUAGGCGCAGCGAAAGCGAGUCUUAAUAGGGCGAAUGAGUUAGUAGGAUCAGACCCGAAACCGAGUGAUCUAGGCAUGAGCAGGUUGAAGGUAAGGUAACACUUACUGGAGGACCGAACCCACAUCUGUUGAAAAAGAUCGGGAUGACUUGUGCCUAGGGGUGAAAGGCCAAUCAAACUCGGAGAUAGCUGGUUCUCCGCGAAAUCUAUUUAGGUAGAGCGUCGCACGAAUACCUUGGGGGGUAGAGCACUGAAUGGGUAAUGGGGACUCACCGUCUUACUGAUCCUAAUCAAACUCCGAAUACCCAAGAGUAAUAUGCGGCAGACACACUGCGGAUGCUAACGUCCGUAGUGGAGAGGGAAACAACCCUGACCCUCAGCUAAGGCCCCUAAUUCAUGGCUAAGUGGGAAAGCAGGUGGGACGACCAAAACAACCAGGAAGUUGGCUUAGAAGCAGCCAUCUUUUAAAGAUAGCGUAACAGCUCACUGGUCUAAUUUAAGUUAUCCUGCGGCGAAGAUGUACCGGGGCUCAAGCCAUGAGCCGAAGCUAGGGAUGCAAUUUAUUGCAUGGUAGCGGAGCGUUCUGUGAUAUAGAACGCUGCGUCUUUAGUAUCUUAGGAUAUUGUGGACGCAAUGUUCUGACUGUGAAGCCGGCGCGUAAGCGAUCCGGUGGAGUGAUCAGAAGUGAGAAUGUUGACAUGAGUAGCGACAAACAGGGUGAGAGACCCUGUCGCCGAAAGUCCAAGGGUUCCUGCUUAAAGCUAAUCUGAGCAGGGUAAGCCGACCCCUAAGGCGAGGCCGAAAGGCGUAGUCGAUGGGAACCAGUUUAAUAUUACUGGGCCAGGAGAUGGUGACGGAUCGAAAGCGUAGUGACUCCUUAUCGGAUUGAAGUUGCUGCCGGACGGUUCCUGGAAAUAGCCCUCCAUUAGAUCGUACCCUAAACCAACACAGGUGGACUGGUAGAGAAUACCAAGGCGCUUGAGAGAACUACAUUGAAGGAACUCGGCAAAAUGCCUCCGUAAGUUCGCGAGAAGGAGGCCCCAUCAGAAGGCAACUUUUGGUGGGGGGCACAGACCAGGGGGUGGCGACUGUUUACUAAAAACACAGGGCUCUGCGAAGUCGUAAGACGACGUAUAGGGUCUGACGCCUGCCCGGUGCUGGAAGGUUAAGAGGAGGUGUGCAAGCACUGAAUUGAAGCCCCAGUAAACGGCGGCCGUAACUAUAACGGUCCUAAGGUAGCGAAAUUCCUUGUCGGGUAAGUUCCGACCUGCACGAAUGGCGUAACGACUUCCCCGCUGUCUCCAAUGUAGACUCAGCGAAAUUGAAUUGCCUGUUAAGAUGCAGGCUUCCCGCGGUUAGACGGAAAGACCCCGUGCACCUUUACUACAGCUUCACACUGGCAUUAGGUCAGACGUGUGCAGGAUAGGUGGUAGGCUUUGAAACUCGGACGCUAGUUCGGGUGGAGCCUCCCUUGAGAUACCACCCCUGUCUGUCUUGAUGUCUAACCGCGGUCCGUUAUCCGGAUCCGGGACCCUGUGUGGCGGGUAGUUUGACUGGGGCGGUCGCCUCCUAAAGAGUAACGGAGGCGCGCGAUGGUUGGCUCAGACCGGUCGGAAAUCGGUCGUCGAGUGCAAUGGCAUAAGCCAGCCUGACUGUGAGUCUGACAAGACGAGCAGAGACGAAAGUCGGUCAUAGUGAUCCGGUGGUCCCGAGUGGAAGGGCCAUCGCUCAACGGAUAAAAGGUACGCCGGGGAUAACAGGCUGAUACUGCCCAAGAGCUCAUAUCGACGGCAGUGUUUGGCACCUCGAUGUCGGCUCAUCACAUCCUGGGGCUGGAGCAGGUCCCAAGGGUUUGGCUGUUCGCCAAUUAAAGUGGUACGUGAGCUGGGUUUAGAACGUCGUGAGACAGUUCGGUCCCUAUCUGCCGUGGGUGUAGGAGACUUGAUGGGAGUUGCCCCUAGUACGAGAGGACCGGGGUGAACGAUCCACUGGUGGAUCUGUUGUUGCGCCAGCAGCAGUGCAGAGUAGCUAUGAUCGGACAGGAUAACCGCUGAAGGCAUCUAAGCGGGAAGCCCCCCCAGAAACAAGGUCUCCCUUGA